rnacentral:rRNA from 1 species
UACGGGGGGGGGCAAGCGUUGUUCGGAAUUACUGGGCGUAAAGGGCGCGUAGGCGGCCUUCUAAGUCGAACGUGAAAUCCCCGGGCUCAACCCGGGAACUGCGUCCGAUACUGGAAGGCUUGAAUCCGGGAGAGGGAUGCGGAAUUCCAGGUGUAGCGGUGAAAUGCGUAGAUAUCUGGAGGAACACCGGUGGCGAAGGCGGCAUCCUGGACCGAGAUUGACGCUGAGGCGCGAAAGCCAGGGGAGCAAACGGG